AUGAACGCUGGCGGCCUGCCUAAUACAUGCAAGUCGAGCGAACAGACGAGGAGCUUGCUCCUCUGACGUUAGCGGCGGACGGGUGAGUAACACGUGGAUAACCUACCUAUAAGACUGGGAUAACUUCGGGAAACCGGAGCUAAUACCGGAUAAUAUAUUUAACCGCAUGGUUCAAUAGUGAAAGACGGUUUUGCUGUCACUUAUAGAUGGAUCCGCGCCGCAUUAGCUAGUUGGUAAGGUAACGGCUUACCAAGGCAACGAUGCGUAGCCGACCUGAGAGGGUGAUCGGCCACACUGGAACUGAGACACGGUCCAGACUCCUACGGGAGGCAGCAGUAGGGAAUCUUCCGCAAUGGGCGAAAGCCUGACGGAGCAACGCCGCGUGAGUGAUGAAGGUCUUCGGAUCGUAAAACUCUGUUAUUAGGGAAGAACAAAUGUGUAAGUAACUAUGCACGUCUUGACGGUACCUAAUCAGAAAGCCACGGCUAACUACGUG
rnacentral:rRNA from 1 species